AUUGAACGCUGGCGGCAGGCCUAACACAUGCAAGUCGAACGGCAGCACAGAAGAGCUUGCUCUUUGGGUGGCGAGUGGCGGACGGGUGAGUAAUGUCUGGGAAACUGCCCGAUGGAGGGGGAUAACUACUGGAAACGGUAGCUAAUACCGCAUAACGUCGCAAGACCAAAGUGGGGGACCUUCGGGCCUCACACCAUCGGAUGUGCCCAGAUGGGAUUAGCUAGUAGGUGGGCUCAUGGCUCACCUAGGCGACGAUCCCUAGCUGGUCUGAGAGGAAGACCAGCCACACUGGAACUGAGACACGGUCCAGACGCCUACGGGAGGCAGCAGUGGGGAAUAUUGCACAAUGGGCGCAAGCCUGAUGCAGCCAUGCCGCGUGUAUGAAGAAGGCCUUCGGGUUGUAAAGUACUUUCAGCGGGGAGGAAGGCGGUGAGGUUAAUAACCUCGCCGAUUGACGUUACCCGCAGAAGAAGCACCGGCUAACUCCGUGCCAGCAGCCGCAGUAAUAC
rnacentral:rRNA from 1 species